GAUGAACGCUGGCGGCGUGCUUAACACAUGCAAGUCGAACGGAAAGGCCUCUGCUUGCAGGGGUACUCGAGUGGCGAACGGGUGAGUAACACGUGGGUGAUCUGCCCUGCACUUCGGGAUAAGCCUGGGAAACUGGGUCUAAUACCGGAUAGGACAAUGGUUUGGAUGCUGUUGUGGAAAGUUUUUCGGUGUGGGAUGAGCUCGCGGCCUAUCAGCUUGUUGGUGGGGUAAUGGCCUACCAAGGCGUCGACGGGUAGCCGGCCUGAGAGGGUGUACGGCCACAUUGGGACUGAGAUACGGCCCAGACUCCUACGGAAGGCAGAAGUGGGGAAUAUUGCACAAUGGGCGCAAGCCUGAUGCAGCGACGCCGCGUGGGGGAUGACGGCCUUCGGGUUGUAAACUCCUUUCGCUAGGGACGAAGCGUUUUUGUGACGGUACCUGGAGAAGAAGCACCGGCUAACUACGUG
rnacentral:rRNA from 1 species